rnacentral:pre_miRNA from 1 species
NUAUACUCCCUCUGUAACUUAAUAUAAGACGUUUGCUAAACACUGUCUUUCUGACACUACGACAGUGUAAAAAAAAGGUCUUAUAUUAAGUCACGGAAGGAGUAUGG